ACCUCUAAAGGAUUUCAGCCAUCCAUUGGCUUUAGGCGCCAAAAAACUUGGUGCAACUCCAAGUAGAAGUA
rnacentral:tRNA from 2 species